rnacentral:lncRNA from 1 species
GCGUGAACUGUUAGGAAUCGAGAAGACUCUCACAACCCCUUUCAGACGGCAAUCUGACGGGCAAGUCAAAAGAUUUAAUGCCAUUCCACAGGAGAUCUUAGCCACUACCACAGAACGUUGUCAUUGGGACUGGGACCUUAAACCCCCUGAAAGCUUCUGGACAUCAGAACAUUGAUUACUCACCUCGAACUGGAAGAAGAUUUUUAUUUAAUGAGUCCGACGCGAAGGAUAUACUGCUUUGUCAAGACAAGGCCCAAAUCUCCAUCAUCAGCAUGAAGAAAAGACAAAGGAAAAGGGGAAGGAGGGUGGGGUGCCUUUGAGACGUGCCUGAACGAUGACACCGAUAAUGUAGAGCUGUCUGGCUUAUUCGUGCAUCUGCAGGACAGAGCAGCUACGUCUGGUAAGAUGAGGGGCGGGGGUGUGUCUAUUUGUCAAUAACUGCUGGUGUGCGAUGUCUAAUAUUAAAGAAGUCUUGAGGUAUUGCUUGCCUAAGGUAGAAUACCUCAUGAUAAGCUGUAGGUUACACUAUCUACCAAGAGAGUUCUCAUUUACAUUAUUCAUCGACGUCUAUUUACCACAACAAACUGAUGCUAGCACUAAGACCAUACUCAACGAGCUGUAUAAGGCCAUAAGCAAACAAGAAAAUGCUCAUCCAGAAGCGGUGCUCCUGGUGGUCGGGGACUUUAAUGCAGGCAAACUUAAAUCCGUUUUACCUCAUUUCUACCAG